rnacentral:rRNA from 1 species
UGAGGGAAUAUUUGGGGACAAUGGAGGCAACUCUGAUCCAGCCAUGCCGCGUGAGGGACUAAGGCCCUAUGGGCUGUAAACUUCUUUAGACGCAGAGCAAUAAGGGCCACGCGUGGUCCGAUGAGAGUAUGCGUAGAAUAAGCAUCGGCUAACUCCGUGCCAGCAGCCGCGGUAAUACGGGGGAUGCGAGCGUUAUCCGGAUUCAUUGGGUUUAAAGGGUGCGUAGGCGGCUUUGCAAGUCAGCGGUGAAAGGCCGGGCUCAACCCGGAAAGUGCCGUUGAUACUGUGAGGCUGGAAUGCGGAUGCUGUGGGAGGAAUGAGUGGUGUAGCGGUGAAAUGCAUAGAUAUCACUCAGAACACCGAUUGCGAA